rnacentral:lncRNA from 1 species
AGAAAAAGAAAUAUUUGUUGCGUAAACUCAUGUUGCGCGUCUUUACAGUCUGCACAAGAGGCACUUCUGCAGCUAAUCUGUCGACUAAGUAAACAGGUCAGAAAGUUUUAGGCUGCCAUUUGAGUUCUUUUUGUUGUUUAUCUUGUUUGAUUAGCUAUGAUUUUGUCAUGUUUGCACCCUAAGCGUUGCAGAAACGGAAUUAAAUUAUAAACAUUUGUGGCUUGAAAAUGCAACUAAACUAUGUUAAUGGUCUAUUUUUAAGUUGUCCUUAUUCACUGGUUUACAUCCUGCUGGCAAAUACGUAAUACAAAUUGGUUGCGCUUGGUCCAAUCCACACAGCGUCGAAUUCGGAAACACUUCCCACCGCGUCUCCUGUUUAAGAUUAAGGCCCUGUUUGGUUCCGGGAAAAUUGUGAGGAAAGAGAAACCAAGGAAAUGGAGAGUGAUUCAUAUCCUUUUAAAAACCCUAACACCUUCUCUUGUUUGGUUGACUAAGAAAAGUAGUAGGGAAAGGGGAAAGAGUUCUAAAGAAAGGCCCCGUUUAAUGAU